UUUCUCUUCCUUCUUUGUCUUUCGUUUCAUCUGCCGCAGCUGUUUUUCCGCUGCAUGAUACCUAUCUCCUUUCUCCCAGAUCUGCUCUUCAUCUUUGCUUUUCUUUCAUUCCCGGCUCGAGAUUCGAUUAGAUCGUUUCUGUACCUUUGUUUCAAUGGUAAUUUUUUGCCGUUUCGUGCUAUUUUCCGGUUUUGAUCACUGUGCUCUUCUAUCAGACUUUGAUUCGUUCUCGCUUUAGAUCGAUGGAGUUUGGAUGACCGCGACGGCAAAUCGAGAACUAAACUGGAUCUCAUGCGUCUAUAUCUUCGAUGAUCUAUUUUCGUUUGGAGCAGUGGAAGAGAAUCUUCAACGACUAAUAAUCGGCUGGGACGGAUCGUGUGGGUGGACCGGGAUUCUGUUGAUCUAAACGAUGGUGAUACUGCCCGCCCGAAGAAGAAGCCACUUGGGUCCGUUGACUUUGUGAUGAUUAUAGUGGGGUUUGAUACUACGUGUCAUAUUUAUAUUCCUUGCCUGAUUAUUAUGUUAUUCUGUUAUUUUAGCAAUACGAUCUAUUAAGAGGCAAGGAUGGUGUGAGAUUUAUGAGCAUCAGGUAUUAUCUUGUAAGGUAUUGUGGCCAUGUAUCGACCUUUGCCAUGACAGGUGCGCUUGCUUGGCAGGUCAAAUACACUCAAUAAAAUCUCUUUUUUGUUUUUGGGGGGAGACGGUCCUUGGGUUUUUUUCCUCAUUUUGGGCCGGUCUCCCUCCAUGGGCGUGCUCUCUCGCUCUCUGUGUGCGUAUCUGUGUCUCUGCCUCUGCCUCUCUUUCUCCCUCCCUCUCUCUCUCACACACACACACACACACCCCCUUCUGCACGACUUAGCGUUGUUGGUUCGCUAAAUGCUUCAUUGGCUGUGGCUCAUCAUUGACGCAAACACGCUAUAAAGACGAGGCUGCCCUAUUUGGGUUUGCACUGAUCAGAUUGCUGUUCCAGAUUUCCAUCCCAAGGUACUAUAAUCUGUUAUAUCGAGUUAAUACCAAAGGUACUAUCUUCUAUUUAAUCUCGAUUGGUUCAAUCUAUUUCUUAGUCUUCUACAUGCCUCUACCUAAGUGAUACAUGAUGAAAGUACGCAUGAUAAUCAUUAGGAUUUGGAGAAUCUAUCAAUUCAAACUGUAAGCGUAAAAUGGUGCAUUUUGUUUUCCCAAAAUUUUACUUUUCCAGGUGUAUUACAUUAAGUGAAAGAAUAUAAUGAUAACCAGCAAAUACGUCUAAAUUGGCACAGGGUCUUAACAAUUUUUAGUUGCUGCAUUCGAUUGAGAGCUAUUAAACUUCCUUUCAGUGCAUAUUUUUAUUAAAAUCGAAUCAAAUACAUGCAGUUCAAUCUACAAUAUAGCUACGAGUUCUAUAUGUCUACAAAACUGGGUAUCCAAAUUUUCGCCAUGAAUAAUGCAAGUCUCAAUUUGAAAUGUUAGUAGUGAGUUUUAUGCGGUUUAUUUGCCUUGAGGGUAUUUAUUUUGAAGUGGAUUCAUUGUUGGAAGUCACUUUAAGGUGGAUCUGUUUGUAAAUUGUGGGGUAUGGGUGUUGUGAAUCGUGAAAUUUCAUUCUGUAAUUAGUAGUGGAUGUUGAUAAUUAGGCUCCAUCUAUAGAGUAAUGCGCUCUCAAGGGCAUGAAAUCGUGUUCUGCUUCGUGGCACCAGAGUCACUGCUGUUCGUUCAUGUGGAAUGCAGAAGAAUUCGUGCCGACUUUGUGAAGUUUAUGACUGCAACUCACGUGAAGCGGAAGGAGUUGUGCUGUCCAAGCCAGGACGUGGGACUAUUUUGCUGGGUAUAUACUCUGAGGUGGUACUGGUCUUGUUUUGUUGUAGAGCUGGCUCAUAUUGAUCUGAGAAUACCAUUUCGGCUGAUAAAAGACUUGUGUUUUUACUGAUCAUCAAAUUGACUCGAGUUUUUCAUACAUUCAGGUGCAUAUCUGUUAUAUUUAUCUGUUAUGUCUCAUGAAUGACUUGGUGAUUUGGUUUAGGCUAUGAGUUGAGUUCAGUAAAAAAAAUAUUAUUAGAA